rnacentral:rRNA from 1 species
ACUGUAUAAUCCCUGCGGGGGAAAGAUUUAUCGCUAUUAGAUGAGCCUAUGUCAGAUUAGCUAGUUGGUGGGGUAAUGGCCUACCAAGGCGGUGAUCUGUAGCUGGUCUGAGAGGAUGAUCAGCCACACUGGAACUGAGACACGGUCCAGACUCCUACGGGAGGCAGCAGUGGGGAAUAUUGGACAAUGGGCGCAAGCCUGAUCCAGCUAUGCCGCGUGAGUGAGGAAGGCCUUAGGGUUGUAAAACUCUUUCAGUAGGGAAGAUAAUGACGGUACCUACAGAAGAAGUCCCGGCAAACUCCGUGCCAGCAGCCGCGGUAAUACGGAGGGGGCAAGCGUUGUUCGGAAUUAUUGGGCGUAAAGGGCAUGUAGGCGGUUUGGUAAGUUAAAGGUGAAAUACCAGGGCUUAACCCUGGGGCUGCUUUUAAUACUGCAGGACUAGAGUCCGGA